rnacentral:rRNA from 1 species
GACGAACGCUGGCGGCGUGCCUAAUACAUGCAAGUAGAACGCAGUUGCGAACGGGUGCGUAAUGCGUAGGUAACCGGCCUCAUAGCGCGGUAUAACGAUUGGAAACGAUAGGUAAUACCGCAUACUGUGAGAUGGACCUGCGUUGGAUUCGCUAGUGGGUGAGGUAAAGGCUCACCAAGGCGACGAUACACAGCCGACCUGAUAGGGGGAUCGGCCACAACGGGGCCGGGGCACGGCCCAAAAUCCUUCGGGAGGCCGCAGGAGGGAAACUUCGGAAAUGGGACGAAGUCUGAACGGGCAAAGCCGCGGGAGUGAAAGAGGGUUUCGGAACGUAAAGCCUUGUUGUUAGGGAAGCGGUAACUAACCAGAAAGGGACGGCUAACUACGUGCCAGCAGCCGCGGUAAUAC